rnacentral:lncRNA from 1 species
UACAGCUAGUCAGAGGCAGUGUCAAGGUUUGAUCCAGAAAAAUCCAACUUUCAAGCCCAGAUGGAAUUGUCUCAUAAUGAUGAAUGUCAAUCAUGACAUCACGUGGCAUGUGCUUUAUGUUAGAUAAAAGGAUACUUUCAUUGGACAGCCUCUGGGAAACAACUGGAAUCUACUGACACAAGUAAGCAAUCCCACGAGAGCAGCAGCACUAUAGGAAAUUGGAGAGGCUUUGGUCUAUGAAAAUUUACUGGGCAGCGUGAUUAUGAUCUUUG